rnacentral:rRNA from 1 species
UACGUAGGGUGCUAGCGUUGUCCGGAUUUACUGGGCGUAAAGAGCUUGUAGGCGGUUUGUCGCGUCGAUUGUGAAAUCUUGCAGCUCAACUGCAAGUCUGCAGUCGAUACGGGCAGACUAGAGUACUUCAGGGGAGACUGGAAUUCCUGGUGUAGCGGUGAAAUGCGCAGAUAUCAGGAGGAACACCGGUGGCGAAGGCGG